AGGCCUUAAAAUAAUUUUUCAUAAUUUAUUAUGUAUUUUUAAUAAUUAAAAAUUAUUUAAUACUAAUUAUUUAAUAAAAUACUAAUUUUAUAAUUAAUCUACCGCUAAAGGGCCCUAUAGCGAUAAAACUGUCGCUAUAGGUGUUCUUAGGCUGUUCUUGACCAAACCCAGAUUUCAUGUCAGUUUAUCGGAUGCCUACUUUGACCAUAUUUUGAUCUGUGAUCCUAAGGUUUUCUUGGCUGCUUGAUGUUAUAAACAUGUAGUAUUAAUGUAAUACUACAAUAAAUACCUAAGUUAAGAUCCAUACAACAAAACAUCAGAGAGAUCAAAGCCUCCCAAUAUUCUGACAACGGUGUUCUUGAGUUUCUGGGUUUUCCAGAAACUCGAGCAGUGUGAGGGUCCUUACUUUGCAUCCUUAUAUCUUCAAUUCUAGGAAUGUUUUAUGUGAUCUAUGAAUUCAAAAGUGCAUUAGAGGUCAGGGUACAAUAACAUGCUAUCCAUUCAGUCUAACAUCAUAACAAAUGCAAGAUCCAUGCUAGUCAAACUAUGUCAGAAAUUUCGGCUGAUGAAGAUCUGGGUUUUCCAGAAAACCUUCAUGAGCCAUUUAGGUCAACCUAGUUUGACCAUGAUUAUAUAAGAUUCUGUUACGGAUAUGGGUGAUCUAAAAGCUUUAGUGUGUAGUUAACAUGUCAGGCUGCAAGUAUAUAACAACAACAUGGCCCAAACACUUAACAGUUGCAAGAUCAAGCGCCUGCAAAGUCGUUGUCAGAGAUUUCUGGGUUUCUGGGUUACCCAGAAACCAGAUCUUGUGCUCGGUCAACGCAGUUUGACUGCUAAUAACUUUUAAUCUAUACAUGAUCUGGGCUUGAUUCAAGUUCCAGAUCAAAGAUCUUACAACAUACUACAAGUACAACCAUUUAACCAACCAAAAAUAUAAACAGGUAAAGAUCUAUGGGGUCUGACAUUCGGUUGUCAGACCACAUUUUUUCUGUUUUCCAGAUUUUUGAAAUCUUUAAUUUCGAGCAUCUAAGUGUUAUGGAUCUGUGAUAUUACAACCCAGAUCACUAAUAUAUACUACACAUUUAAACAUAAAAUCACAACAUCAAACAUCAGAUCUAAGGAUUUCUAGAAUUAGGGUUUAUACCUCAUGAAUGCUAUAUUUUUGAAUCUGAUCCUUGAUGUUUGAUCCUGUGAAGCUAACACAUGAUCUUGGCUUAGCUUAUUACUCACUCUCACUCUAAAAUUUCGGAUGAGAGAGAGAGAGAAGGGUUGGCUAGGUUGAGAAAUAAAGUGUUUAACUUUUCUAUACUUAAUGCCUUUAAUCCAUGUUGCAAUGUAUUUAACCUAGCAAGUUGGCUUAUUAAAAUGAUUACUAGACCACAUGGCUAGCUAGAGUUGGUCACCAACUCCUUACUAGGGCUAGAUCUACACUCCACCUCAUUAAAAUAUAAAGAAGGGUAGUUUGGUCUUUUGACUCAUAAAGUGCAUGACAACUUGGUAACUUCUCAUAAUUAUUAGGUUUUAACCCUUAGGGUUUGACCCUUAGGGUUUAACCCUAAGAUUACACAAAUUUAUAUUCUAGACUUUUCUAAUUAGGUUCUAAAAUUAGAAAAUUAUAAUUAGGGUUCCCUAAUUAUAAUAAAGUUUACUAAUCACAUUCAAGCUUGCUAAUUAGGGUUAAGGCGUCCUAAUUAACAUUAAACUCUAUAAAUUAAUAAUUAGGUUUUCUCUAAUUGUACAUUAGGGUUUCCAACAUUAGAAAUAGGACUUUCUAAUUAAUCAAUUAGGGUUAUCCCUAAUUAUACUUACAAUUAAUAACAUAAAAACUUUAUACUUAUCUUCAAGCUUCCCAAUUAGGGUUUUAAUAUUCCAAAUUAGGGUUACGGAUUCCCAGAACUGAAAUUAGGGUUUCCAUAGCUUGUAAUAUGGUUUCUUAUCAGUCGUUAGGGUUUUCUAACUGAACGUCGAGGCUUUUAGUAUAUUAUUAGGUUUUGUGACUGAUAUAAUUUAUCCGGUCAACCCUUGACCCUUAACCACAUACUUUACACAUAUAUAACCAUAUACAGAGAUACUUUUAACACUGUAAACCUUCACCAAAAGUUUUUAAAUUCAUAAAAUUCAUUCCUAAACAUGUUAAAUACAUACACUUAUUUUCUGUCUAGGUCUAUUAUUUAACCUCUAUUCAAUCUUUUAAGAUUUUAUAAAAUUGUCUAAAUUCUCGGGUUGUCACAUUCACCCUUCUUCUAAUAAUUUCGUCCCUGAAAUUCAACUUACACCUCAUACCUUGCAUACACAACAUCACAUUCUACCCAAUACAUCACUGACAAGAGAAAAAAAAUUUCAAAUUGUGCUGAGGAGUCAUAUAGACUAUUUGUCUGUCAUUUUCGCAAAGGUUUUAUGGAAAUUCAUCCGCAAACCGUCAUAACUUACGGACACAAAGGGUGAUUAGCCCGAUAUGCCCUGUACUGGCCAAGUACUGUUGGUUGGAACAAGUUUUCCCCGUUCUUCUAUUCCAUCCGCCUCAGGCGCACAAAAUUUCUUACCUCAGUCUUUUUAGAUUCCGCACCAAAAUAAUUUGGUUCGGGAAAUUUCUUUCAAUGAACACUUAGAAUUUUUAUAAACAUUAGUCUAGCUGAAUCUAAUAGCAUAGACUCAUAUCAAUAAUUUAAUUCAAUCGAAUUAUUUACGUGUAGCCAAACCCCGUUGGCAAAUUAAAAUUUUUGAAAAUAUUUUUGAGAAUGACGUCAUGAUGUCGUACUAUAUUAAUAGUCCGUUUGAGGAUGCCAUCAUUGUACGACUUUCUCAUAACACAUCAUACAAUAGUGGAACAAUGAUUUUUAAAUCGAAUUCACACCAAGUAUUCCUGUAUUUACAACUCCAUCAACUUUUUAUCAUCUCUGCACCAGGUUACAUGGUACAUGAGUGAUAAAUAAAAUAUAUUUUGACAUUUUAAAUCAUUUGCGUCUAGCCGAAAUAAGUAGCAUAGACUAUACUUUUAAUCGUUUCAAAAAUGAUUACGAGUCUACAUUUUUUUAAAGAGCACAUAGUGCGUAUUUAGCUUGAUGUCAACAUUUCGAAGUCUAGCAUAGCUAUGAGUUUUGGAAAACUUAUAUCUCCACUAAUAAUCAUUUUCUUAAAUAGUCUAUUUAUUCCUAUUAUCCUCAAUACUCCAUUCACACUUAGUUCUACCAAGUUCGUCAAACUUACCACACUUAUGAGUUCAGGAACUUUCCACAAUCAUAUGAGUUUAAGAACUUGUCCUAGUCAGACCUUUAAUGUCCAUUCGCUGAGGGGUUCAUAAACAUUUCAUAUAACCAUGAGUCACAAACGUAACAUAAAUAUGAGUUUUAAGAACUCGUACUUAACCUUAUAUCCUCUACCUAUAACCUAUCUAUCUGUUAUACACACGAGAAAGGAAUCACCCUCUCAACAUGCAUUUAGCAAAUAGCACGACAUAAACAUUUCAUAAUCCCUUCAUAAUCUUAACUCUCUUCUCAAUACGAAUUUUUAUUCAAUUCGUAUUUAUAAUCCUUUCCUGAAUCUGUACUAAUUCAUAGUACAACAUACACACGACAUUCUUGUCGUAAAUUUUUCAAUCAUUCGCUUGAUCCUUCUCCAUACUAUAACCUUAUUAGAUCACGGGGUGAUCUCAUCGUAUAUAUUAUGAUUCAUUUCUAUGCUAUGAUCGUUUUGUUUUACAAUCUCCUAUCACUGUACUUUCAGUCUUUUAGACUCUAUCUAUUCAUUACUACUGUUCACCUUUAUUAUUAGAGUUAGGAAACUCUGUGUCUUUAUAAUUCGCCGAGAUUCGUCUUUGAAUCUUACCGACACACUGACUCUAUGUGAGUUAGAUCUUAUCCUAAUCACUGCGGUUAUUAGUCUAAGGUAGCUCUACCAUAGGUUUAUAGCCAACAACUUUGAUACCAAAUGUAGCGCCCCCAAAUCCAUGGUCCUAAAUCACCACGGAUCUGGUACACUAGUUCUAACUAUUGCAGAAAAUAUAAACAUAAAUUAUUUAUACAUUAAAUAUCAUACACUAUCCCCAAGGUCGAGUAACCAUAACUUAUACACAAUUUCAUACCUAUCUAACAUACAAAUAAAUUACUUUUACAAAUCUAGCUGCACACACAGUCCCAAGCUGAGCUUGGCUUUAUCUUUUCCUUGUAUCGACGCAUUCGCCUUAAUCUGCAAUGUUUUAUCAUGAUAUAACAAGGGUGAGCAUGAAAGUUGUCCAGCAGGUUUAAAUUAUAUUUAAGGAUAUAUCAUGAUUGAAAGAGUCUGAAUAAUAAGCUGGCUAUAAUUCAUCAAUAUAAUUGAGAACUAGCACGAACAAACUUUUGACUGAACAAGUAUUAAACAUGAACAAAUAUAUCUGAAGCAAAUGGUAACGAAGGUGAUCAGCCUUUCAUACCUGACUUAUACAUAUAAUAUGUACAGAGUACAAUUCUACAUGGCAAUCAGCAAUGAUUAACCAUAAGCAUAUCUAAAUGAAUCAACUCUUAGUAGAGUUAAGAAAAACACUUGCCUGUACCGUUGAUUACCGUUAUGAAAUAUAACUUAGCUUUAUCUGAAGACCUAAUAUAGAUAAUACUGAUCUCCAAAUAUUAGAAUAAUAUUAUGACAGUAUAAAAUAAUCUAAACACAUUAUCACAUAAUCCUAUCAGUCUAUACAUCACAUAAGACUUGGUAUCAGGUCAAACUAUUUCAGUCUGACUUGAAUCCGACACAAUUUUAACAUCCCGACGGUCUAGUUGGACAAUUAUCGAGUUUAAGUUUAAUUAAACUCUACCUAACACUUAACAAUUAUCUUAGGUAAUUUAUUAAUCAGUCAAAAUAAUUUUCAUAGACCCAUAAUAAUUUUCAGAUAAUUAUUAUCCUUUAUUAUGUUUUUACAAUCAAUAAUAUCAUAUUUAUAUGCAUUAAAUACUACUUAAUUCCGUUAUCAUCAAUAUUAAUUUAAUAUUAAAUAUCAAUAAAAAUCAUAGCAUAAUAUUAUAAUAUAUUUAUAAUAUCUCAAAGUAUUUUUAAUACUUUAAAAUCAUAUUUAUAUGAUUUUUAAAUAGCUAAAUUCAUUAUCCGAUAAUUGAUAUUAAAAUAUUAAUAUUUUCAUGACUAAAUAUAAAAAUUUAUAUUUUAUAACUUCAAAUAUUUUUAUAAUACUUAAAUUAUUUUUAUAUAAUUUUUAAAGCAUUAAUUCUAUUUUUCCAUAAUUUAUUUAAUACAUUUAUCAAAUAAAUUAAUUACCAUUAAUAAUAAUAUAUUAAUGAAAUUCAUCACAAAAUAUUAAAAGUCAUUAAAAAUAAAUUAAAAUAUUUUCUUAUUCCAUAAUAUAAUUUUUCACGAAUUAAAACCAUUUUUAAAUAAUUUUUUUAAUAAUAUAAUUAAAUAAAUAAAUACCUUUUAUAUUCCAAAAAUAUUAAAUAUUUUUGAAAUAUACUCAAAAUAAUUAAAAACUAAUUUUCAGGCUUUAAAAUAAUUUUUCAUAAUUUAUUAUGUAUUUUUAAUAAUUAAAAACUAAUUUUCAGGCUUUAAAAUAAUUUUUCAUAAUUUAUUAUGUAUUUUUAAUAAUUAAAAACUAUUUAAUACUAAUUAUUUAAUAAAAUACUAAUUUUAUAAUUAAUCUAUCGCUAAAGGGCCCUAUAGCGAUAAAACUGUCGCUAUAGGUGUUCUUGGGCUGUUCUUGACCAAACCCAGAUUUCAUGUCAGUUUAUCGGAUGCCUACUUUGACCAUAUUUUGAUCUGUGAUCCUAAGGUUUUCUUGGCUGCUUGAUGUUAUAAACAUGUAGUAUUAAUGUAAUACUACAAUAAAUACCUAAGUUAAGAUCCAUACAACAAAACAUCAGAGAGAUCAAAGCCUCCCAAUAUUCUGACAACGGUGUUCUUGAGUUUCUGGGUUUUCCAGAAACUCGAGCAGUGUGAGGGUCCUUACUUUGCAUCCUUAUAUCUUCAAUUCUAGGAAUGUUUUAUGUGAUCUAUGAAUUCAAAAGUGCAUUAGAGGUCAGGGUACAAUAACAUGCUAUCCAUUCAGUCUAACAUCAUAACAAAUGCAAGAUCCAUGCUAGUCAAACUAUGUCAGAAAUUUCGGCUGAUGAAGAUCUGGGUUUUCCAGAAAACCUUCAUGAGCCUUUUCGGUCAACCUAGUUUGACCAUGAUUAUAUAUGAUUCUGUUAUGGAUAUGGGUGAUCUAAAAGCUUUAGUGUGUAGUUAACAUGUCAAGCUGUAAGUAUAUAACAACAACAUGGCCCAAACACUUAACAGUUGCAAGAUCAAGCGCCUGCAAAGUCGUUGUCAGAGAUUUCUGGGUUUCUGGGUUUCUGGGUUACCCAGAAACCAGAUCUCGUGCUCGGUCAACGCAGUUUGACUGCUAAUAACUUUUAAUCUAUACAUGAUCUGGGCUUGAUUCAAGUUCCAGAUCAAAGAUCUUACAACAUACUACAAGUACAACCAUUUAAACAACCAAAAAUAUAAACAGGUAAAGAUCUAUGGGGUCUGACAUUCGGUUGUUAGACCACAUUUUUCCAGUUUUCCAGAUUUUUGAAAUCUUUAAUUUCGAGCAUCUAAGUGUUAUGGAUCUGUGAUAUUAUAACCCAGAUCACUAAUAUAUAAUACAUACUACACAUUUAAACAUAAAAUCACAACAUCAAACAUCAGAUCUAAGGAUUUCUAGAAUUAGGGUUCAUACCUCAUGAAUGCUAAAUUUUUGAAUCUGAUCCUUGAUGUUUGAUCCUGGCAAGCUAACACAUGAUCUUGGCUUAGCUUAUUACUCACUCUCACGCUAAAAUUUUGGAUGGGAGAGAAAGAGAGAAGAGUUGGCUAGGUUGAGAAAUAAAGUGUGUAACUUUUCUAUACUUGAAUGCCUUUAAUCCAUGUUGCAAUGUAUUUAACCUAGCAAGUUGGCUUAUUGAAAUGAUUACUAGACCACAUGGCUAGCUAGAGUUGGUCACCAACUCCUUACUAGGCUAGAUCUACACUCCACCUUAUUAAAAUAUAAAGAAGGGUAGUUUGGUCUUUUGACUCAUAAAGUGCAUGGCAACUUGGUAACUUCUCACAAUUAUUAGGUUUUAACCCUUAGGGUUUAACCCUAAGAUUGUACAAAUUUAUAUUCUAGACUUUUCUAAUUAGGUUCUAAAAAUAGAAAAUUAUAAUCAGGGUUCCCUAAUUAUAAUAAAGUUUAGUAAUCACAUUCAAGCUUUCUAAUUAGGGUUAAGGCUUCCUAAUUAACAUUAAACUUUAUAAAUUAAUAAUUAGGUUUCUCUAAUUGUAUAUUAGGGUUUGCAACAUUAGAAAUUAGGGCUUUCUAAUUAAUUAAUUAGGGUUAUCCCUAAUUAUACUUAUAAUUAAUAACAUAAAAACUUUAUACUUAUCUUCAAGCUUUCCAAUUAGGGUUUUAAUAUUCCAAAUUAGGGUUACGGAUUCUCGAAACUGAAAUUAGGCUUUCCAUAGCCGGUAAUAGGGUUUCUUAUCAGUCAUUAGGGUUUUCUAACUGAACGUCGAGGCUCUUAGUAUAUUAUUAGGAUUUGUGACUGAUAUAAUUUAUCCGGUCAACCCUUGACCCUUAACCACAUACUGUACACAUAUAUAACCAUAUACAUAGAUACUCUUAACACUGUAAACCUUCACCAAAAGUUUUUAAAUUCACAAAAUUCAUUCCUAAAAAUGUUAAAUACAUACACUUAUUUUCUGUCUAGGUCUAUUAUUUAACCUCUAUUCAAUCUUUUAAGAUUUUAUAAAAUUGUCUUUAUUCUCGGGUUGUCACAGGAAGACCACAACAUCAAAUCCAACCCCAGAGAUAAUCUUGGGAGAUCCAGUUUCCAACCCCGGAGAUAACCCCGAGAGAUCAAGUGCAUUGCCCGGAUUUAACUCUAGGAGGUCAAGACAACCUCAGAGAUAACCUUGAGGACAUUCAGAGUCAACAACAUAACAAUCUCAGAGAUAACCUUGAGAAAAGACUACUACAAUUGCGCUAAAAUCAGAGAUAACCCUGCGAGGGGCAAAAUGGUCAUUUUGCCAACUCAAAUUUAACUCAAAUCAAAUACACUCAUUUCAACUCAAAUUUCUUCAAAAGAAGUCCAACAAGAACCAUAUAUUAACUUUCGAGUGCAAACUACACAAAACAACUCAACGAAUUACCUGAUAAAGACCUAGAAAUGCUAUUUCGAUCAUGGACCCAUCUUAUCGGAAUCAAAAAAGGGAAAAUCCUAUGGCAUGGCAUAGCUCUCGGAAAGAUCUUUUCAAAAUGGUGUGACACGCUUUCAUCGGACUCCCAGAUUGAAAGUUAUGAAGGUUCAAGCGAACAACGCGUUGUCCGAGUGCACACACUUCGAGAUGAUGGGACCCACAUUGCCCGGGGCACCCUGGGCAGCCGCAGAUACACCUGUUGCUGUCGCAGGUACACCUGUGGCUCCCCCCUCUAUAAAUAGAGGGCUUGGGGUGGCCAUUUUAAGAAGAGAAAAUGCGAGGAAGCCCUGUCCAAUUUGCUAUGUACACACUAUAAACUGAGUGUUUUCUCAUUUUAAACACUUGUGAGCUUAUAUUGUGCUAUAUUUUACCAGUGGGAACUGAGUGUUCAACAAUUUAAAGCUAUUAAAGUCUUCUUUGGCAGUCCACUGUAAGCCUUGUUACGUUUCUUAAAGCUUUUCUCCACUACUGUGCACACACAGUUAUUCACGUUGAGAGUCGUGUUGUGUGCGUAUGCCCGGACUUCGGUCUAUGGCUUUUUAUUUCUUUUGUAUAUAUAUAUAUAUAUAUGUAUGUACUAACAUUAUCGAGUUAUGCCUUGAUUAAGCCUGGACUCA
rnacentral:lncRNA from 1 species